GGGUUUUGGGUGGUGCCUCCUAGUGCCUUAUUGUUCCGUGUUUGAUACCUACCCCAAAAAAUUCUCAUACAUACGGUUUCGGUGCCGAUUUUAGCCCAAAUUUCUAUGCUGGAUUUGUGGAAGAAGAAUUACAAAAAAAGCCUAUAACGAAGCUGUGUUACGCAAAACCGAGCGAUAAAUCUGCGUGUGAGAAGGAUAUUGGUGAUGAUCGUGGUGUAUCUAUACCGUUUUUUUAGGUGAAUGUUCUAUGUUCUGUAUGAAAUUGCGUGAAACCGAUUCUCUCGGAUGAUUUUGUCCGAUCGGAAAGCUAUUAGCGUGUUGCUGGUUGCUGUUUGAAUGAUUUGUUCGUGAAUUCACUACGGCUUAGUGUACUUGAGGAUAGAGAGAGAGGAUAGCGUGUGUGCCUUAUACGUGUGAAAUACCUUCGAAGUCAACAGCCUUCGCCCGCCAGAAGGGCCUUCAGAUAAAGUUGUGCAAAAAUAAAUACACAAACCGGGCGAGUGUGUGAGUUUGCGUCCGAAUGUGCGUUGUGAGAGAGAUCAUUUUCGUUGCGUUUGCAUGAAUGGUUUUUACCGCUGGCUAGUGUAAAACGAGAAAGAGAGUGGAUAAAGAAUAUUUUAAAAUAGAAAAUCCGUCCCAGCAAAAAAUAAAUAAAAAGGGUGCUCACUAUUCGGAGUAAACGACUAAAAAGGUCUGAAAAAGGAGCAAAACUUCACACACAGGCACGGGAAAACAGCGAAGGGCGUUUUAGCAUUUGAACCGGCUCAGUGGCAGAAGGUAAGUUUCGCAAUCGCCAACGGCAAAGAUGGAUUUUUCACGGUGGAUUACAUCGUACAGCGUUGCGGGUGAUGUAUUACCGUGCGAUAGUUACCAGCCAGAAAGUGGUGGGCCCGUGUGCAGAAUCAAUAUACGCAGAGGUUGUCUUUGCUGUGAAACACUUUAACCAAUAGCACUUGACAGGCAUCGCUGGAAUUGGUUAAGUGAUUUACGUGCAUGUUUAUGUGAAAUGCAAAACAAAAAUAAGUUGAAUAUGCUUGGGGCAGUAUUUUCGGUCUCACACUACCCGGAUAAAUAACGAUCAACACGGUUCGAUUUUUAUAUGCUUUAGGCGGAAACAUGGGCGUAGCAUCUGAAACAUUUUCUCCAACCGGAAAAAUGAAAAUCUUUCCACGAGUCAAAAAAAAUAUUUUGCUGAGAAUUUACUUAAAAACGUAUUUUUCUCACCACUAAGUACUGCUUAAAAGAUGCAAAAUUGUCAAUAUCUAGUAUAUCAUAUCAAUAUAUUGUCAAUGAUUCAUGAGUUUUGCUUACUUAAGAUGAAUAUCAAAAAAUGUGAUUAAGUUACGCACAGCAAACUCUCUCACGGUACCAUUGGUUGAUGGUCAGUCAAACGCAGAAUGGAUAAAUUUUUGGCAAACAUAAAUUACCGAAGUCGCUCGAAGUUUGUUGGCAUAGGGAAUCUCCUUAAACGCAAUUAUUUGCUAAUCAGCAAUGAAAGAUGAUGAAACGAAGCGGUUUUAAUAGACCUGAAUGGUUGAGGUUGGCAAGCUGGAUUUAGCUGGAGUUUAAUCUUUAUAAUUGGCCACCGAUGAUGAUCAUUCCUUUGGACGAUUCUCAUUUGGCGUUUGAUUGGAUUAACGGUGUUUUACAAGCGCACAUAAAAAAAAGAAUGCGUGUCUUUCUAUCUUCAAAUAGGGGAAAACCACACACACACUUGGAGUACCUUUUGACUGUAAUGUCGUUGAAAGUUGGUCACUCGUUUGUCUUGGAUUUAUUGGAGUUACCAGAUUUGUUUUUCUCCUCGUCGGAGAAGGUUAAAAAUGCCAUCAAGCUACUGUUUUGCUGCGAGCACCAAACGAAUGUCAAACACGGUUUCACGGUUUUGCCUGCCGCAGACACUUUCUGGGACUGUGCUGUGGAGACUGGAGAAGAGCUUUAAUGUUUUUUGAUUGGGGUCACGAAAUGCGUAGACUGAUUGGCUGAUUGAUUGAUCGAUAAUUGCCCGGGAGAAAUAAAACAGGGUGGCUGGGUUGGAAGCCAAAAAAA